rnacentral:lncRNA from 1 species
UUUUCUCCAAAAUAAGAACAGCCAUUUCCUUCUUUCAAGCUAAUUUAGUAGAGAGAUUUCAAGUGACAACUCCAAUAUCUUGAAAGAAAAAGGUGAAUUUCUUCAAUUCUCUGUUUUCCUACAAUUCUAGCUUGAAGAAAAUUUAUUCUUUCAAUUCUAGGGUUUUCGAAAAAUUUGGGGAUUUUAUUUUAGAGUUGAAGUAUGAUUCUAAUAUUGAUAUAUAUUAUGUUUUUGAUGAUUCCUAAGCAUGAUUGUGGUGGUUAAUUGCAGUAAUUGUUACUUGAUUUUUGAUUUUGCUCAAGUUAGUGUAAACCCUAUGUUUGAGUUUGAAGAGCUAUGAUAAGUUCUUGAAUAAUUGAGUUUGUAUAUGUGUUCUUGAGCUAUAAUUAUUUCAUAUAUGAGUAUAUUAUGAAUUUACACCACAUAGUUUGGAAAAUUGAUUUUGUUAGUUUAGUGAAAAUUAGGGCUUUGAGCUAAGAAGGUUCAUAUCCUAUUGUCUUAUGGUUAUAGGUAUAUUAUGAUGUGAUUUUAUUAAUUAUUGAGAUUAGAACAGCCCUACUACCCAAUUCUUUUAUAAAGCUCUAUUGUAUAAAGAGCAGGGAAGUGAUAAAGUUGCUAUUUUUAUGCAUAUGGAUGAGAUUAGUGGCUCUAAUAAUUGAGUUUAAAUUGAGAUCAUCGAGAUUUUAUUUCAAAGAGAUUGAGGAGAUUGAUAAAGUUAGUUUAUUAAACUAAAUAUGUAUCUAUUCAUUGAGAAUUGACAAACAUCUAUGAGCUUAUUCUUUGUUUUCUUAUUGAGUUAAGAGGAGUGAGUGGUGUUAUUGUAUUGAUGAUAUGUUGUGAGGAAAUGUUAGGAUAAUAAGUGAAUAGCAAAUAUGAGUUAUUGUUGUAAUAUUAUAUAUAUAUAUAUAUAUAUAUAUAUAUACUUACUUAUUUUCUUACAAAUUUUUAUCUAUUUAAAGGUUCCGGCUAGGAACGAGCCCAACACUAGAGUACGAAGUAAGAGAAACAUAUCAGGUGGGCUUACUAACUCAAGAAACAAAGAUGCAUACUUUAAUAUAUAAAGUUUAAGUGUAUGCAUUUAUUUUCAAAUUGUUGACUUGCCAAUGUUUAAGAUUUGUAUGAUACCAUCUACAUAGAAGAACGAAUUCGGGUCCUGAGCGAGUCAGGAUUUGUGUACACAGAGUGACGGUUAACCUUGAGUUAGCUUGUCGUUACGUUUGGGAAGGAGGCCUACUUCUCAACGUGUUUAUUGAGACUAGUAGAUAUGGUACAUACUUACAUGAGAACUUAGUCUGCGCAGACACUUUCAAAUACUAUGUAAAAACAGUUUAGCAAACACAGGUUGCUUCAGAAAAUCCCUUGUGUAUUGCUUAAAGUGGCAAGUUCAAUAUAUAGCAUUAUCAUGCAGAGUUUUAAAUGUUUUCGGCAUAUGUUCACUGAGUGCUUGUGGUACUCAGCCCUGCAUAUCUUUUUAAAUGUGCAGGUUAAGUUUGGAUGAAGAUGGAAGUGUGCUGAGCUGGAGUUUUUUUGUAUGUAAUAGUAAUAGGCUCAGGAUAUUGUGUCUUCAUACAUAAUGUCCAAUUAUGUACUCCGCUGCAACACUUUGUCUCUCUUAUCACUUUUGCC